ACGGAAGGCAGCAGUAGGGAAUCUUCCACAAUGGACGCAAGUCUGAUGGAGCAACGCCGCGUGAAUGAAGAAGGCCUUCGGGUCGUAAACUUCUGUUGUUAGAGAAGAACAUGCAGGAGAGUCACUGUUCUUGUAUUGACGGUAUCUAACCAGAAAGCCACGGCUAACUACGUGCCAGCAGCCGCGGUAAUACGUAGGUGGCAAGCGUUGUCCGGAUUUAUUGGGCGUAAAGGGAACGCAGGCGGUUAUUUAAGUCAGAUGUGAAAGCCAUCGGCUCAACCGAAGAAUUGCAUUGGAAACUGGAAGACUUGAGUGCAGAAGAGGAGAGUGGAACUCCAUGUGUAGCGGUGAAAUGCGUAGAUAUAUGGAAGAACGCCAGUGGCGAAAGCGGCUCUCUGGUCUGUAACUGACGCUGAGGUUCGAAAGCGUGGGUAGCAAACAGGAUUAGAUACCCUGGUA
rnacentral:rRNA from 1 species